UGUCGCCCCGCCACCACCGGGGUCCCUCCCGCCGGCUGAGAGGGGAAGGCAAGAGAGAUACGGAGGCUGCGCCCGGCCCGCGGAGCCCACCGGCCGUCCCCUCCAGGGGCUGAUUUCUUGGACCGCUCAGCACGUGAGAAGUAACCAAGCCCCUUCUCUGUGAGGUCUGAUAUUUUCUAAGAUACGCUUCUUGAAACUGCUUGCUGGCUGCUAAACACUAUUUCUAGAAAAACAGGACUCCCCUCCCCAAAAAAAAAAAAAAAAA